UACGGAGGGUGCAAGCGUUAAUCGGAAUUACUGGGCGUAAAGCGCGCGUAGGUGGUUUGUUAAGUGGGAUGUGAAAGCCCCGGGCUCAACCUGGGAAUUGCACCCCAAACUGGCAAACUAGAGUACAAGAGAGGGGUGUGGAAUUUCCUGUGUAGCGGUGAAAUGCGUAGAUAUAGGAAGGAACAUCAGUGGCGAAGGCG
rnacentral:rRNA from 1 species